CGAAUUGUAAGUCCGCUUUAGACGACCAAAACGUUCUAUAUUAAGGUGUAUCAAUUCCUUAUAUCCAGUGUGGUGACAGCUUUCAGUCUGGUGAAAACUCUUCAUAGGACUCUGUUCUUGAGCGGCGUCCACACAGGGAGAGAAUUGCCGGUGAAAAAGUCUUCAUACAUACCUUUCAAGAGAUGACUGAUGAAUGCACAUCCAUGAGUACAGGAAGAGAUGUCGAGCGAGGCAGGGCGAAAACGAAAAAAAAAAAAAAGUAAAGGUUUAGCAGCACGGUUAGCAGCACGGUUAGCCAUCUUUGGGGACGUGUUGCCGAUGGUGGCUGGCGCGCUGCUGUCCCUCGGGCUUACCAUCGCUUUCAUCACCGUGGGCGCCAUCUAUAAAGACGAUUGCAAUGUGGAACCCAUGAUCCCGAUCUGGCUCAUCGU